rnacentral:misc_RNA from 1 species
AUCAGCAGCAGCAGGAGGUCGCGCUACCUUCCCUGACUCGAUCGUCAGCAAGUCGCAGCAGCAGCAGCAAACUUCGGCAGCAGCAACAGAAAACUCUGGUAGCAGCACAAACUCCGGCAGAUUAGGGAAAUGAACACGGAAGAAAAAAGAUUUAAUCAAGAAGAGGAGGAUGAGGAAGAAAAUGGGAGAGGUCGAGAAGCAUGGGAAAGAACUUAUGCAGAUGAAAGAUCAUGGGAGUCUUUACAAGAGGAUGAAUCAGGACUCCUUCGUCCAAUUGACAACAAAACUCUAUCCCAUGCUCAGUAUCGACGACGUCUCCGCACUGCAACUGCUGCACGAAUUCAGAAGGGUUUGAUUCGGUACCUCUACAUUAUCAUUGAUUUCUCCAGGGCAGCUGCAGAAAUGGAUUAUAAACCAAG